UACGGGGGGUGCAAGCGUUGUUCGGAAUUACUGGGCGUAAAGGGCUUGUAGGCGGCCAACUAAGUCAGACGUGAAAUCCCUCAGCUUAACUGGGGAACUGCGUCUGAUACUGGUUGGCUUGAGUGCAGGAGAGGAACGCGGAAUUCCAGGUGUAGCGGUGAAAUGCGUAGAUAUCUGGAGGAACACCGGUGGCGAAGGCGGCGUUCUGGACUGCAACUGACACUGAGAAACGAAAGCCAGGGUAGCAAACGGG
rnacentral:rRNA from 1 species